rnacentral:misc_RNA from 1 species
UCUAUGUAUAUUAGUUAUUAUAACUAUUUUAAUUAUAAUUUCUAUAAUAAUAUAUUAAUGCUUGUGAAUCUCAUCUCUUAGCUUGACAAUUUUUUUUUUUUGUAUUUUGUCUUAAAAAUUCUUACUAGAACGAUAACCAUACGACUUUUUUAUAACAUUUAUAAUGAAAUGCUAUUAUAAUAUAACUAAUGUACUGAAACUUUAAGUAACAGUCUAAGAUCCGGCUGCGAAAUAAGUAUAUUCGUCGUGUAGGUAAUCAAACUCAAAAUUUUACAUACAUCUAUGAAUGCAUUGAUAGCAGGUUGCCAGUCGCAAAAUGUCUAAAUAUACUUUUAAUUAAAACAAUAUUUAUUAAUUUUCGCAAGAAAAAAUCGUUGAUUUUAGUUUUAUAUAUAUAUAUAUAUAUAUAUAUAUAUAUAUAUAUAUAUACAUACAUACUGGCUACCUUAAAUUGAAAAGUGUUAAACAUUUCUUUUUUUACAAAUUUUAAGUGAAGUCUGCGUUCAUCAACAUAUAUUUAUUUUGUAUAUAAAUGGACACAAAAUUCCAGUGACGUAUAUACAUUACAUGUGCGAAUAGAAAAAAAAAAAUAAGAAAGGCAUCGACGGUCAAGCUAGAGAAAUUAUUUAUAAAGUGAAAAAAAAUUGACAGUGAAAAGCAGAAUAUGCGUACUUAGUACGUGUUUACUGCAUUAUAUGCACGACAAGUGAACGUUGUGCAUAAUGAGCACCAAAACAUGAUCAGAAUAUAAGAAUAUCUUAACUGCCCUGAUGAGAACCCCAUCGCGACGCUGGCGCAAUAGCUUUAAAGUUUCGCACAGCUGGGAUUCCCCAGCCUUGUCUAACGAAUGGCGUUGCGUGCUAACUCUCUUUCGCUUUAUCUUUGAUAAAAUAGCGUUUUCAACAAAUGUAUAUUAAAAUUUAAGUUUGAUCACUUACGUGAUCAAUGUACUGAUUUUGCAGCCGGAUCCCAUACUACGUAUAAGAAAAUAUUUUAAAAAAUAUUUCAAAUUUGAAUUAUUAAAACGGUUUUUGUUUUGAUAGCAGCCAUUUUUACUUACAAUUUUGCUCUACUGUCUUCAUUUUACAUAUUAUUUAUUUUAAUUUGAGAACAAAAAUAAUGAUUUUUUUUAAAUCUUAUUUCUUAUAAGAUUUCCAUAGCGAUAUACUUAAAAACAAAGAUUAUCUUAAUUGUAACUACGUACAAAUGACUUCUAGUUUAGAUGUAACUUUUAUAAAUCUAGAUAUAUAUUCUAACAUAUAAUACAACAUUCAGACUAAUGAUGACUUCUUUCAUAUAGACUGACUUUCCUAUGAGAAAUCGACUGUCCCUACGUAUAAUAUCGAAAUUGAAAAAAGGCACUUUACAUUUUUUACGCUGAAUGAUUUGUUAAGUAUCGAUAAUGAGUAUAAACUCAUGAAAAAUGUGAUUUUUUUGUGUAUUUUAUAGCAUUUUCUCUUUUUUUCUUUGAAAAUAUACAUAAAAAGUAUUUUUUCAUGCAAUAAAAAAAUAGAAUUUUUUUAGUUUCGAUACUGUACUUAGGGACAGUCGAAAUACAAAGGAAAUAUGACGUCAAAGGGUGUCAUUGUCACUGUUAGAAUAACGAUAUUAAAGAUUUUUUAUACGAAUGAGCGUUAAAAGUGUAAUGAAAUACAAAAUGUCGGUCAGUUUUAAAUAAAAUAGAAUUUUGAAAUAGAAAAUAGUAUAGAGAGGUCGAUAUCAAUUAAAUAAUAUUAGUAAUGAGUGUUAUUUGUAUAUUUUUGUACUACAUAUACAUAGAAGAUAUUGUCUGUCCAGACGAAGCCUUUAAAAGUAUAUUCAUAUUAAAUAUCAAUCAUUGGUCUUAACUCUGUUUGAAAUACCGAUAGAUACCGAUACCGAACUUAUACUACGCCAACUCGAAUUCUCGAUAAGUUGGUUUUUUAAUGCGAACUUGAUAAAAUGUGUUUUUAUAUCUAAUAAAAAAAUUGUAAAAUUGCAAUGAAUAAAUUAACUAUUAAAGAUACCAAAUUGCAAAUAAGUUUCUUAAUAUAAAAGGUAUCACGUUUUUACCUAUUAUAAGUCUCUAUUGCAGUGUUUCCCAAAGUGGGCGAUAACGCCCCCUUGUGGGCGCUGCAGUACUAAUGGGGAGACCAGAAAAAAAAAAUGGUGCCGUUGUGUAGAGGCUUGGGGGGCGAUUUAUCAUUUAAUCUAUUAGGACUCUCGACUACAACUUGUGAACAUCAACUAAUAUUCAUUAAAAGAUUGCUCAAAGGGGGCACUAUAAAAUAAUUUAUUCUCUUUGUGGGCUGUAAACAAAAUAAGUUUGGGAACCCCUGCUCUAAUGUAAAGUUCUCUUUUAUGAGUUAGCUUAGUAUAAAUUGCUGGUGUCGAUUUGAGACUUGUCUUUAUUAAUAAAAAGUUAAAACAAAGUCAAUUAUCAAACUUCUAAAUAUUACAAUAUACAAUACAUUAGACAAUAAUAAAAUAAAUUUUAAUGGUAAUUAUACACAGAUAUUUUGCUAGAAACAUCAAUUUUCUAAGACACACAACUUUUAUCAAUGAACAUGCACACGUACGAAUAAGUCUUUAUUGUAUAAUUAAAAUUAAAAAUGCUUUUUUUUUACUUUUUUAAAUUGUCUGGACAGACAAACAUCGGAAGAAGAAAAGAAAUAAAAUGUAUGGAAACGUAGAUUAACAUGCUGACCAGAUAUGUCAUGAAUAAGUAAUUGACAACUUGGAUUUAUAUUCAAAUAUAUAUUGUUUAUUCAAUUCUAUAUCGAUUAUCCAAGCUUUUUAUACAUUUUAGAUAACCAGUAAUUCGAAUGAAUGCAAUGUCAAAAAAUGUUAACUUUUUCUGUAUUAUUAAGAUAAAAAUAAUGGUCUUGAUUUAAGGUGUCAUUACGAGUUACUGUCAUAAAAUUCUAGUAUUGCAUUUGAAUAUGGUAUAUCAGUUGUCAAUCAUUAAAACUCUCUUGAUUUUGACAGAUAUAGUGUACUAUUUGAAUAGUAAGACAUUUUAAGACAAUGGGUUGAUUUACCAAACUUGUAAAUCACAGUGACUCGAUAACAAAUAAUUGUUACAUCAAGUAGUCCUGGUCAGUGUGUUAGGAAGUAUUUCUGUCAACACAAAAAAAAUAUUGUUCUGUCAAUUCGCUCUAAUAGUUUGUGAUAGCUUCGACUGCUUUAUGAAUCUCCUAGUGACAAACGAACUGACGCUACACCAAGCUUUUUAUAUAUAUUUUAAGCUACUUAAAUAUACAUACAAAUUUUAUUACCUAAAAUCUACAUCCAACCCUUACCAUAUAACCCCGUUGACUUAAAAGUUCCGGUCUUGUAAUUUUUAUAUUAUAAGUUUAUAUAAUAAACUAGCGACCCGCCCUGGCUUCGCACGAGUGCAAUGGUAAUACUAAAUAUAAAAUAAAUAUAAUAUAUGCGCAAAAAAAAUGUGUUUAUUUAGACCACAUUAGAAACUUCUAAAACUAUCAGUGUUCUUCUACUAUAUUAUGCAUCUAUUAUACAUAUAAACAUACCUCUGGAAUCACUCUAUUUAUUAUAGAAAACCGCAUCAAAAUCCGUUGCGUAAUUGUAAAGAUCAUACAGACAGCGGGUAGCGACUUUGUUUUAUACUAUGUAGUAAUAUUUUAAGUAAGAUAACAAAUUUGGUGACAAUUUCUUUUCAAAUUCAUGUGAUUUAUUUCAAUUAGACUGUAUUUAUUCCAUCCAGUUUGAUUUGUGAAAUUAUUGUAAUUAUUAAGAUUAAUUUAGAAAACAAAAAGAUAAUUUUGUUGUAAAAUGAACUUACAUGUUUGAUGGUAUAUUUAAUAUUAUUUUAUAAUUUAGUGUCAUGUAAUAUCUAUGUAUAAAUGAUGAAAUAGAACAACCAAGGCAGCUGUGGAACAUUUUAAAGCUUCUAAUAUGAAAGAGUUGAGUUACCGGUAUACCAAGUGCUAAGCAUCUUUAUAAUUAAAAUAUCUUAUUGAAAAUCGCAAUAAUUUUAGUUAAGACUCAGUAUGGAUAUGCAUACAUAUACUUGUAUUGAGAAUAGCAGGUACGGACUUAACUCUUCCAUAUACAUAUCCAAAAUACUUUAUUUUGUACAUGAUAGUAGACGUUUGCAUUUGUAUAUUUUAUUAUUUUAUAGCGUAAUUCGCAAUUUUGUAUAGAAAUAAUGUUUGAUCUAUGAAAUAAUCGUAAUUUAUGUAUUCUUUGCAAAACCCCAAUGUUUUAUAGUGAUUUUUGUUGCAAUAAAGGUGUUUAAUAAAAUCUUUAGUUUAUUUUUUUUCUAAGAUGUUAUUCCCCUUUUCCCUACUUAUUUUGAGGUAAAUAGGUAAAAAAUAAAGAAGACUUAUUUUAAUUCACUUUAUUUUUAGAGAAAUAAACGUUUUUUAAAAUCCCCCUUUUUUACAUAAGUCUACGGUAAGGACAUAAUGUUUUUAACACGAACUUCAUUAAACCUGUACAAUUAAAACUAUAUAAUGAAAGGUUAAUAUUUAAAUACCCCCCUUCCACCUAAAUAUUUUACAGAAUAAAAUAAAAAAUAUUAAAUACUUAUUUCUUUAACAAUGUAUUCCUACAUAAAAAUCAUGUAUACUGGCCAGUGAUGACACCUAAAGUCUAUUAACGUCAUAGCAAUACAA